UACGUAGGGUGCGAGCGUUAAUCGGAAUUACUGGGCGUAAAGCGUGCGCAGGCGGUUUGCUAAGACAGGUGUGAAAUCCCCGGGCUUAACCUGGGAACUGCGCUUGUGACUGGCAGGCUAGAGUACGGCAGAGGGGGGUGGAAUUCCUGGUGUAGCAGUGAAAUGCGUAGAGAUCAGGAGGAACACCGAUGGCGAAGGCAGCCCCCUGGGCCUGUACUGACGCUCAUGCACGAAAGCGUGGGGAGCAAACAGGAUUAGAUACCCUGGUAGUCCACGCCCUAAACGAUGUCGACUAGUCGUUCGGAGCAGCAAUGCACUGAGUGACGCAGCUAACGCGUGAAGUCGACCGCCUGGGGAGUACGGCCGCAAGGUUAAA
rnacentral:rRNA from 1 species